rnacentral:sRNA from 1 species
UGAAACUUAAGAUCAAUAAUGGUGACGACGAGAGGCUCCAUCUAAGUCGACGAAGAAGACAAUAUAUAUUAGAGUUCAUGAACUCAACGUGGGUUUAGUAAUUCCAACCUAUAGAGGAAAAAUAAAAACAGAUAAAAGAUAAUCAAAUAGAAACCAAAAAUCGUUGGAGAGAGAUCUGUUUACCCCUUCACGUGGAUGCUAUUAUUAAAAGACGGCUACGUCUAUGAAUUUGAUGAGCUAACAAGUGAAGGCGACGAACAGAUCACGACUAUGACUUUUUUGAUGAGCUAAGAACGGAAGAAGGCGACUAUAGCUUGUUCAAUAUACAAUUUUGAGAAGAUGUGGGGAUGCUAAAUCCUAUUUUUAUUUUUAUUAUUAUCCGCAAAUUUUAUUUGAGUAAAUUCUAUUA